GGUGGAGGAGAUAACUACCAAAUAGAAAGAAAUAAAGAGAGGGAGAGGAAGAAAGGGUAAGAUAGAGAAGAAGAAAGAGUGAGAAAGAGAGAAGAAGAGAAGGAGAGAAAAAAAAUUGACAAAACAAGAAAUGAGAAAGGAAAAGUGCAAUUUUUGCUCAAAGUCAAGGUAGAAAGAGUUGAGAGUACUAUCAUCUUCUCCAUUCUUUUGGAAAUCAAGAGGUGGAUUUCCAUUUUUCUAUUUCUCAUUCAUGCAUGUAUGAAAUAAUGUGUUCUAUAGGUUAAAGACUUGGGGUUUAAGGGUUUGAAACGAAGAAAUGAAUUUUUAAUUUUAUUCUUGGUUGGAUUUAGAGGUUUUGAAAUAGAUGGUUAAAAUGAUUUAUGCAUGUGAAGUUCUAUGACUGAAAUUGAGAAUAGAUUAUUGUAGAAUUGUGUUUCCUUGAUGACAUGAAAUUAUGCUCUUUUGAUGGGUUUGAAAUUCAAGUCCUUGAGUUUCAUUACUGUGAUAAAUUAGUUUGAGUAAAUUGAAUUUGUGAUUCUAUUUUGAUGUGUUCAUUAUUGAUUUAUUCAUAAAUUUGUAGCAUUUUUGUUUGCAAAGAUUGUUAGGAAAUUAGUGUGAUUGAAGGAGUGUUGUUAACUUAAAAUUGGCAGGACAUAUGUGUGAUGUUUUGGUCAUACAAUUUUCUCUAUACCUUAGUUCUAAAUAAUUGUUAGUUUUCCGGAAACUAGACUCAAUUACCUUCAAAUUGAGUACAAACUUUGUGAUGUUUGAUUGAGUAUUGAUGCUUAAAAAUGGAUUACAAGUAAGACUAGAGUUGUUGUGCUGUUUUUUUUUUUUCUGUCAUUGUGUAUUAUUUUGAUAAAUUACAAGAAUUAGGGGAUUAAUUUAAAAAAAUAGAAUAAAAUAAAAUUUUAUUUAUAAAGUAGACAUCAUAAGCUUUCCAAAGAGUGCUCAUUUACUCAAUUAUGAUACUUAUAAGUUCCUGUCAAUUGACUAUGUAGUUAAACUCAAUUUUGUGUUGUUAUAACAUAAAUUUGGGGCUGUUUUGGAUAAAAUAUAUCUUAAGCAUGUUCUAUUGAAUUUCAUUUUUCAUUAUAUGAUUAGUAUGAUAUAAUUGACUUAAUAAUUUAUGAUUGUUUGAUAGUCUUUAAUAUAUUUACCAAUAGAUGAUGUUAUAUAUAUANNNNNNNNNNNNNNNNNNNNNNNNNNNNNNNNNNNNNNNNNNNNNNNNNNNNNNNNNUAUAUAUAUAUAUAUAUAUAUAUAUAUAUAUAUAUAUAUAUAUAUAUAUAUAAACAUAUUUUGAAAUAGAUUUUGAUAUAUGCAUUCAAAAAUGACAAAAGGUGGUCCCUUAAUAUUAUGCCAAAAUUUGAUACAAACCAACAAGUCUUUAUCAAUCUACCAUACUUUGAGCAUUUUCUUUAUCAAUGAAACAAAAGAAUCACUUUAAAACAUUAAUUAAAAUAAAAAAUUAAAACCACAAAUUGGGGCCAACCUUAGUCGAUACCAUCUAUCUUCAUGGUUUGUCUAUUUCCUAUCAUAGAUUAAUAUGCGAAAAAUAAUCCUAAAAAAAUUUAUUGUUUUUUAGAUAGGGAGUCUAUCCAAUUUGCUAUAUUUAUUUAUUUAUAGAUUUCCUUUAUCAAAGUAUUAAACGUGAAUAUAUUUUUCAACCAGAAUUCAAGUAUAUGUUUGCCAUGUUGUAGGAAUUAACUUCUUCCAUAAAAUGUAACACCUAAUUUAUCUUUGAUCAUGCAUGAGUUGUUCACUACUUUAUCCUUUUAUUAACAAUGUUGGUUUACAUUUAUUUAUCAUAAAAAAUGUUAAAUAAAUAAAUGAUAAAUAUCUUGUUAAAAAUAAAUAAAUGAAAAUAUAUUUCCUUUUGCCUCUUACAGCUAAAAUUAUAUGUUUUUUUAAUACUUUUUUGUUGCAUAAAAAAUUCAUUUGGACUGAAAAAUUCAUUUUUUAUAAUUACUAAACUUAAAAGGUAAACCCAACAAAUUUAACCCUAUUAAAAAUAAGUAGCCAAUUUUUAUCUAAUUUUGUUUUAUCUGUCUUUGAAAUUUAUUCAUCAAACCAAUUUUUUUCUUCUAGAAAUCAAACUAACUUAUAAACUAAAGAAUUUAACAUUAUUAGGAGAUAAAAAAGUUGAUUUAAUAGCAGUGAUAUAUGAGUUAAGGAGUGCAAAAAUAAGGAAAUCAAUAAUUUGAUUCCAAUCUUUAACAUAAUCCUAAGUACUAACAAUAUUAAUAUAAUAUUGAUUGGGUUGUUAAAAAAAACGAAUUUACUUGUGAAUAGAAACUUUUUUGCAUUUAUUACUAUGUGGAUCUAACUCUACUAAUUCAUGACAAGGUUGAUUGAGUAUAAUAACUAUGAAUAUGACUAAAAAAUUAUUAAUAACCAUGAAAAAUAGAUCAUUUUAUUUUUGGAUUUAUGACAAUAAUUAAGUUAAAAAAAUCAUUUUCAACCCUUAGCAACAAAAAAAAAAUCAUUUUGAUCCACAUGAAUAAUAAUUUUUGUCCUAUGCAAUAAUGAUAGACAGAGAUGUUUACUAUUAUGCAACAAAAGUAUAAGAUAUGCAUUCUUUUAGGUGUAAGAGGCAUAAGGAAAUAUAUUUGUCAUUUAUUUAUUUUUCUAAAAAAUAUUUGUCAUUUAUUUAAUAGUACUUUUCUAUGAUAAAUAAAUAUAAGCCAACAUUAUUACUAAACAAGAAAGUGAACAACUCAUAGAGAGUAAUAAAAAUUACAACCAUGACAUAUUGACAUAUAAGUGAUUUAUACAAAAAUAAAAAAUUCUCUAGUAUUAAUUCUUGCAUAUCUAUUUAUGGUAGAAAAUGAAAAAAAAUUCACGAGAAAGUAUGCAUUUACUUAUGGUGGUCCCAUUUUGUGGUUUUAAUUAUUAAUGUUUUUAAUCAAAAUUGUAAAAGGAUUCUUUUGUUGUAUUUAUUAAAUAGAGUGUUCAAAGUGGUAAUUUGAUAAGGAGUUGGUUGGUGUGUAUCCAAUUUUAACAUAAUUUCAAAGGUUUUUUACUUUUUAUUUUUUUUUAUUUCAAUUUUAUUAUAGAAGCAAUCCAUAUCAAAAUAUGUCCACAUUAUUCGAUGCCUAAUUUUAAUUUUGUUUAAUGCAUAUAUGCAAUCUAUAUCAAAAUAAAUGCAAUUUUGUUCAAAUAAAUAAUAAAUAAAUAAAUAAACAAAUUGGAAUUUUUGUAACUUCUUAAAAUGGAACAUUUCUAUGUAUAAAUGAUGUAUAGGAAAUGUAAAACAUCUUCUUUUUUUUUUCUAAUGUUUGAAUUUUUUUUUAAUUAACUGUUGUCAUAAGUCCAAAAUAAAAUGAUAUAUUGUUCAUGGUUAUUAAUAAUUUUUAUUCAUAUUCAUAAUAAUAAUAAUAAUAAUAAUAAUAAUAAUAAUAAUAAUAAUAAUAAUAUAUAAUUAGCCAAUUUUUAUCAAUUUUUAUUUUCUCUUUCUAUUUGAAACUCACAUAUAUAGUAAAAAAAAAAGUUAGAGAGUUACCAUAAUCUACCCCUUGAAUUUCCUAGUCACCAAUAUUAAUGGAUCAUUCAUCUAUAUAAACCUCUCUUCAUCUAUAUAAACCUCACAUUUCUCCAAUAUUAUUUGCUACAUCACUUUUCUUCUUAAUUUUUUUCUUCCUCAAUUUCUUCCUCUUCCUAUCCAUCCUUGUAUUCAUAGCAAUCAAUGUACCACAUAUACCUUAUCAAAUCACCACUUCCAUCUACACUAAAAACCUCUAAUUCAUUCCAUUUUCCUUUCCUUCCACACAUUCCUAUAUAAACCUCACAUUCCUUUGAGCUUGCAUUCAUACUUGAGUUGAGUAAUCUCUUGAUCUAUAUAUUGAAAAAUGCAUUGGUAUAAUCGAGCUAAAAAAAACAUAUGGUAAUUCAUUGUUAUUAAACAAGUGUGCUAUAUUAAUAGUUAUUAAUAAUACAUAUAUUUAUAUUAAAUUUUAAUUGUUAAUAUACAUGCAGAACUAAUAUAAUAUAUUAUACUUUACAUAAGAUUCAAAUUUCAAUUUGUGUUCUUUUUACAUUUUUACCUUAGAUAUUUUAUAUUAUGGUUAAUUAAUUAAAAUAAAUAUUUAGAACACAAUACUCUUAAAUUAGUUUCACACACUCACAGAUUAAAUAUAUAUAAAUAUUGAUAAAGUUAUGUUUUUUCUUGUACUUUAAAGUUUUCAGAAUUUUUUAAUUGAUGUUCUACAUUUUUUAAAUGAUUUAUUAUGUUAAUUUAACUAUACAAAACUAUACAUUUAAAAUAUGACUUGUUAAUUCACUUAAUCUUUGUUUUCCAUGAGUUAUAUUUGUCAAGAUAUAGUAUUUUUUAGGCAAUAAUCAAUAAUUUUAUCAAUAGUUUUUUUUAGGAAAUAAUCAAUAAAUUUCAGCGAUUACACAUUGGGGAGCAUGAAAAUUGAAGGCCAUUAAUCAACAUUCAUAUUAUUAUUAUUAUUAUUAUUUUUUUUCCCUUUUAAGUUCUAUUAGUCAUUUUUUACUUGUUGUUAUAAUACUAAUUACUCAUUUUUUUCUUCAGGUAUUUGAUCAUCCUUAUAAUUAACUUGCUGCACUAAGAACAUUCUUAGCCUCUUUCGAUAUUACUUGGUACCAAUGUUAUUUACAUACAUCCUAUUUUUAUAUCAUUCUUUCACACAUUCCUUUUUUACAAUAAUAAAAAAUAAAAAUAAAAAUAAUGUUUUAUUAAAAUUUACUAAAAAUAAAAAGGUUUACUAUUGGACCAUAACAAUAUUAAAUUAUCCAUAUUUAUUGAAAAGUGUGUCUCUAAUAUUGUAAAACACCUCUGUACACUUUUGUCUUCCUGAAUGGAACAUUUCUUAUCAACUUAGGACUUGAUAUAUGGUUUAAUUAAGUUAUUGACUAUAAUAUAUUGACUUGGCUUCAUGUAUAAUAUUAUUAUUUUUUGAAAGGAUAUAAGCCGUGCUUAUUAUUAUGUCUUGGUCAUUUAUUAUUGAUUAAUAAAUUAUAAUUACUUUAAUAAUAUUUAAUUUUGUGUUGUAUUUUAACAGCACUCUUUUAGUCUUUCCAGGAGCUAUUACUUUUAUUUUCAGGUUUUCUCUCUUUGUCUCUCUUUCAUUUAUUUUUUACAACUACUUUGUAAAAUAAAUUUUAAAAAUUGUUAUGUACACUUGUUUUAUUAUUUCAAACCUCUAUUUUUUGCUAUAAAUCUAAAAUACAGCAUUUAUUUUAUAGUUUCUUGCUAGCCCAUGUUGUUUACACAUUACGAUUAAUUAUUUCUUGUACUAAUUAAUUGUAAGGAUGUGUUAGAAGGUAAAAUUUUAUAAUUUUUUAUAGAUAGUAUUAGUGGUGUGACUUAAAUAAGUACAAAAAAAUGACAACACAUUUUAGUCUUUUUUUUCUCUCUUUCUCUGUUCGCGUCAUUUUUAAUUCUACUAUGACAAUAUAUUUUGGUCUUUUUUCUCUCUCUAAAAAAUUUAUUUUAUGUAUUUAAAUUUGAAAAUGUGAUUUUUUUUUUCAUUUAUUAUUUACUAUUUAUUUGUGUCAUAUCUUAUAUCUUAUGUUUAUUUGUGUUUCUCACUAUUAGAACUGCAAAAUGAAAUAUAUCUUAAUGAUUUUGGAAUACUUUACUAUGUUAAUUAAAGUGAUCAAUUAGAAAAAUAAUUAUUCUUAUAUUGAAAAUUUAAAGUGAUAUUUAUAUUUAAAUAAUUUUCUUUUAACUAAAUUCAUACAUAUUGUGAAACAGAAGAAGUAUAUAAUAAAAUUACCCCAUUAGUAAAUCAUCUCUAAAAAAAAACGUUAGUUGAAAUAUAUGAUUAAGAGCAUGAUGGAAAUACUUUAAUUAGUAUAGAGUGAUGAAUACAUUCAAUUAACAGUAAACUCCCAACAUACACAUUUCGUUCUUCGGUCAAUUGUUAGUGUUUGCCACUAUAAUUCAUUGUGAACAAACUAUAAUAUCAUAACAAUAAUAUGUGGGAAAAAAAACUACCAUCUCUCAAUGGUGGUUUAGAAUGGUGAGAUUGAGAACAACAAUAAUGGUUGAAAAAGUUAAAGUUGGAUCUAAGAAUGGAGAAAAUGGAACCACGAGAGUUUUUAAUAAGAAAUAAAAAAAUUGUCUAUUUGUUUUAUAUUUGUUUAUAUCUUUACCAGUUAUGCGAGUUUCAAAAUAUAUCAUCUUUUUAUUGUACAGUUCAAAUUCAUUAAUAAAUUUAUCAAUCAUUUUAAAGUAAGACUUUGUUAAAAUCUUGCAGGAUCAGAACCCUGAACACAUCACGUUUUGCUAUCUCGUCACGACACUUUUUUCAACAGAUUUUUGUUUCAUAUGUAUCCAUCUUACUUAUAGUGGUAAGCACUAGUGGCUAUAAAAAAG
rnacentral:lncRNA from 1 species